UCUGAGUGAACGCGGUGCUUUUGGGA
rnacentral:piRNA from 1 species